CUGAAAAAGAAGGGGUGGGAGUAGUGACCGGGUAGCACUGGCAGGGCUAGGGAGGGGGACUGCCCCUGGGACAGGUCCAGACUCAUGGAACCCCCCUGGAGGAGCAGCAGGUCCACAGCGUCUCACACUCUACACCAGUAUUGCUGUCCUACUCAGGUCCUUGACUCCAUGAAGCUUACCCCCUCAGGCAGGCUGGCAGAGAGCAGGGAAGAGGAGGAGGAGGAGGAGGAAACUGAGGAAGAGGAAGAGGAAGACGCUCACCAGUUCUGCUGUCCGGCCUCCGAAUGCAGUAGUCCCUCCUCUCGGUAACUGAGAGGACAAGGGCCAUUUUCUAUGCAGAAGCAAAAGCCUUAACCAGCCCCCACCCCUGCCUCUAUGGAUCCCUCAAGGGACCCUGUCCCCUGCUUCAGGAACCAGAUGGGCAAGCAUCAUGCUCUUACUUCCCCCAACUUCCUUCUUGGAAUUCUUCCCCGCCCCUGCUGUCUCCCCUAGGCUCUAGCCCCAGAAUUAAAGAGCUAGAGUCCUAGAUUUUACUAAUAUGUGGGAGAAGCAGAGCUUGGAGCUUGAAGCUUGCAACCUGGACCCUCUUGCACCCAUAUACCCAGGCACCCUGGAGCUUGUUACUACUGGAGAGGUCUCCAAAUGACACCCCAAGGACCUACCUCUGUUCUCUGUGAGCACAAACAGAGAUGCAGGGUGCCUAGGGCUCAGAGGACCAGACGGGAGCAGGAACCCAGCCUGCCUAGUUCCCCGUCACUCAUUCCCUUGCUGUGGCCAUAGCUGCCAUUUCCUCCACUGCUUGAAGGCCUCACCUCAUACCCUCUCCCCAACCCCUAUCACUCCUAUAGCGCUCUGUAAACAUGAUUAGGAGGAAAAGGCCUUUCAGCAUGUGUGUUGCUAUGUAUAAAGAAAUUUCCAUCAAUAAAAGCUGAUCUCUUCUCUC